rfam:Pseudomonas bauzanensis strain CGMCC 1.9095 genome assembly, contig: Ga0066784_101
CGCCGGUUCUGGUGGGUAUUACCCCACUUCAGAACCGUGUGCGUCCAGGGACGGACGCACACGAGCGCCAUGGAUGGCGGGGUGCGAGUUCUGAAGUGGGGUAAUACCCACCAGAACCCAAC